rnacentral:rRNA from 1 species
AUUGAACGCUGGCGGCGUGCCUAACACAUGCAAGUCGAGCGGUAACAGGUGUAGCAAUACAUGCUGACGAGCGGCGGACGGGUGAGUAACGCUUGGGAAUCUGCCUAUUAGUGGGGGACAACCCGGGGAAACUCGGGCUAAUACCGCAUACGCUCUACGGAGGAAAGCCGGGGACCGCAAGGCCUGGCGUUAAUAGAUGAGCCCAAGUCGGAUUAGCUAGUUGGUAGGGUAAUGGCCUACCAAGGCGACGAUCCGUAACUGGUCUGAGAGGACGACCAGUCACACCGGAACUGAGACACGGUCCGGACUCCUACGGGAGGCAGCAGUGGGGAAUAUUGGACAAUGGGCGAAAGCCUGAUCCAGCGACGCCGCGUGGGUGAAGAAGGCCUGCGGGUUGU